GGACACGAGUGAAAGGCAAACCAAAGGCCAUAAACCACUUCUCUUUAUUUCCUAUAAAUGCUGGAGUGUCUGUUAUUCUGCAUAGUUGGGUGCUUCAAGCAAAUUAUCCUUUUUCAGGAUGACUGAAGCUGAAUUUCUAUUUAUUUUUGUUUAUGCAUCUCUGUUAAACCAGGAUCAUAUCCUCAACCCCCAAAGUGGAGCAGGCCCCCUCUGCCAUCAUGCUUAGCCUAGUCACCAGCCUGAGGCUUACCUAGCCACCGGAUCUUCCCUUUGCCUUGCUCCUGGAGAGUAGAAGUUUGAUAUUCUCUUACAUCUGACUCCCGACAUCACUUCUCUGUAUUGACUGUGGGGCUCUUUUUUGGCUUGGAUUUUCUCUUUCUUAAGACCAUGUGGGACCACAGAAAGAAGAAAACAGUCAUACAGGGGACCUCACUUCCUGCCUUUCCCAGCUGAUGUUGUUGGUUACGUUUGCAACUGUACUGCGAUAUGGUGUAGCACUGGCAUAAGAUUCAGUCCCCUAUGUGAAUAAGUCUAAUGAUGGUACUGCUGUUGAUGAUUGAAUGUAUUAGGAAAUUAAGUGAAAGCCUCCUCAGGAUAUUAUACUGAUGGAAAAUUAUUGGCCUGAGGAAACACUAGAUUUAGUGAAUCAUCAUCUAAUUGC